GAUCUAUUACAUAUUUUCAAUUUUUAUCGUCUACUUAUCAUCAUUCAAUUGCUUCUUAUAACUUUCGAUUGUCAUUGAAUAUUGUCGGAUUGUACGUUUGCGGUAUGAGAUUACGAAAUAUUUUCAUCAUACGCAGUUAUUAAUGAAAUGUAGAUUUCAUAGUGAGAUCGAUUUUCACUAUGAAAAUAGUGUUUGCUUUUAUUUUUAUUUCAAUUGCAUGGGUGUGCGAGCUCACAGUCCACCUGGUUUUAAGUGGAUGCUGGAGUCUUACACCACAAAGCGAAUGCCUCCGUCGACACCUACCUACAUUUUAGACGGAUGUCUUAGUUACAUUAGAAUUGGCGGCAAGUCGAUAGCACUAACUCAUGUAGACUUAGAACAGGUUCUAAAUUAGCACUCAGGUUGAACAGCGCAAAUAUCGUACAUAUAAGAAUAGAAUUAGAUAAUGCUCUUGAAGAACUGACCUGCUGCAUUUGCUGCGCGUCAAGAGAACGGAACAGCAGUAUGCCCCGGACCGCCUCAGCGAGACGGGCUCUCUGUGCGUCCGACUUGGGGAACACGGCAGGGGCUCCUUCGUCAGAAUCAUCCUCUUCGGGGUCAUAAGUCUCGGCGAAAACGGAUUUGCGCCGAUUGUUAAAGCGCGCCACUGGCGGCUCUGUUAUACCAACAUAAAUAUGUUUAUAACGAUGGUUUAGCUUUAACUAUAAAAUACCUACAAAUACUAAAUUUAAAAAAUCCAGUAAGGAUAAACUAUAAUAUCUUUUUCAAAAAUACUAAAUUCAAAUCAGCCAUCGGUCUACAAUUGUCUACAUGGUUUAUUGCUUAGCGAUUGUUUGAUGUAUUCGCAUAAAAAACUAAAUGAUUUUCCAAUCAACAAACUAUAUUUUUAAUUCUCUAUAAAACACCUAGUUUAUUACGUAUAUAGAAUGUAGUAGACAUCAGCAUGAAGAUUUGAUUUGAUUACAUCGAAUUAAGAUAAUUAACGGUAUUUUGGGAUACACGGUGUUAUUUUGACAAGUCUUGUUUAAGUAUUCGAUUCACCGCAAUCACUUUAGGCAUUCCAAUUAUCUGAUGCACGUAAAUGUAAGGACCGGCUAUCAAUGAUGGAUGACUGUUACGUAUGAGUUCUCAUGACGACAAUUUACGUCAAUGAGAUAAAUGCAUCGAAGCUACGAAAUUCUUGAAUAAGUACAAGAUAAUACGCAUGCAGCCUCGCGCGACUGUAUCAUUUCAUCAAAUCGCUAGAAAUGUCAGAGCUGCGUAAUUUUUACUCCGAAUUUUCGAAGUUAGAGAUAAUAACUAUUUCAGCCCUUCCAAUUCAAACAUAUAGUUGAUACUUUGUAUAUACUACAAAUAAUAAAUAAAUAAAAGUUUAGUGGUCGAGCCCAUUUGAAAAAUUCUAAACGCGAAUUCAUGUAAAAGCGGUUUUAUGCUUCUGUUAUUAAGAAUUAUAAUUACUGUAAGUUUACAAGUUUGUUUAAAGCUAUAUAAUAUUUAAGAGUAAUUGGUAUUGCUUCGAUAAACUGGUUUUAUAUCUAGGCUAAUCUUUUCACAAGUGAAUUAUUAAUCUUGGUUGAAAAUCGAUUGCAUGUAACUCUACUUAUGUUUAACCGACAUACGAACGACGCCUGUUUAUUGAUAUGUUGCAAAGAGAAAGUAGGAAUUGUCAAUCAUUCGUUUAAAAUUCACGUCUUGCAGUGAGCCUCUUGACAAAUUGCAUCACAACAUUAACUUCGAAGUAGCUGCAUGUUUCUUUCAAAAGGAUUCCUUUGCUAUUAAUAAUUUUAAAAGAGUAAAAAAAAAACAUGCUUUCAGAGAAACAUUAGCUAAUUUACAGUAUCAAGGUUUUCCAGAUAACAAUGUGUAAUAUUAAAACAUUUCACACUAUUCAAUAUUAUUGUGCCAUUGUUGCCGAGUUGCAUGAUAUCUCUACAUCUCGGAAUUAAUGUAAAUUUGAAUAGAUCUAACAUUGUGUUUUUUAGCAAAAAAAUGACAUCAUUGUCGAUUUUUAUAAGCAUAUAAGAGGAUCAAUCUAGUAAGCUAUCUUAGAUUUUACAGGCAAUAUAUUACUCUGAUAAAAGAGUAGAUGACAUCACAACAAAGGUGUUUACGACUAGCUGCUAUUGAAUAAGAUAAUGGCUAUACUUGAUCUUAGUCAAAGUAGAUUAAGCGACAAAACGUAAUUUUUCAAAAUGAGUCACCGGGUAUGUCUCUAAUUUUAUCUACCACAUUUCAAUCCAAAGAAUAGGUCUUUACAUGUACUUAAAGACACAUGCUAACAGUAUUAUAGGAAUUUUUUUAAAGCACACGCUAAAGCAAGCGUACAAUUGCUCAAGGACUAAUUAACAACACCUGAUCAGUUCAUUAUGCUUUGUACCGUGUUACCUGUCAUUACCUACAUAGCUAAUAAUAAGUGAAACAUACAUAAAAAUUCCAACAUCUGUUUCGAUUCACGGCGCCGAAGCGAUCCGCGGGCUUCGAAAAAUAAUCCAAACUCAUCAACACACAACUUCAAAGCGUCGAAAAAACAAACUCACAAAUAUGAUGAACAUGUAGUAAACAUACUGAAUUUAUAACUCCACAAACAACUUUUUUUAAACACUUGCAUUAGUCUGUUGAAUUCUUACAAGCUUGUUAGUGGUCACUCAAUGAUAAUGUAUACUGUGAUACUAGCUUUAUGUACACAAAAUGUGAAAAUUACUUUAUUUAAUAAAUUAUUUAACAUUUCAA